rnacentral:rRNA from 1 species
AUUGAACGCUGGCGGCAUGCCUUACACAUGCAAGUCGAACGGCAGCACGGGAGCAAUCCUGGUGGCGAGUGGCGAACGGGUGAGUAAUAUAUCGGAACGUGCCCGGUCGUGGGGAUAACGUAGCGAAAGCUACGCUAAUACCGCAUACGAUCUACGGAUGAAAGCGGGGGAUCGCAAGACCUCGCGCGAUUGGAGCGGCCGAUAUCAGAUUAGGUAGUUGGUGAGGUAAAGGCUCACCAAGCCGACGAUCUGUAGCUGGUCUGAGAGGACGACCAGCCACACUGGGACUGAGACACGGCCCAGACUCCUACGGGAGGCAGCAGUGGGGAAUUUUGGACAAUGGGCGGCAAGCCUGAUCCAGCAAUGCCGCGUGCAGGAUGAAGG